rnacentral:rRNA from 1 species
AUGAACGCUGGCGGCGUGCCUAAUACAUGCAAGUCGAGCGAACAGACGAGGAGCUUGCUCCUCUGACGUUAGCGGCGGACGGGUGAGUAACACGUGGAUAACCUACCUAUAAGACUGGGAUAACUUCGGGAAACCGGAGCUAAUACCGGAUAAUAUAUUGAACCGCAUGGUUCAAUAGUGAAAGACGGUUUUGCUGUCACUUAUAGAUGGAUCCGCGCCGCAUUAGCUAGUUGGUAAGGUAACGGCUUACCAAGGCGACGAUGCGUAGCCGACCUGAGAGGGUGAUCGGCCACACUGGAACUGAGACACGGUCCAGACUCCUACGGGAGGCAGCAGUAGGGAAUCUUCCGGAAUGGGCGAAAGCUUGACGGAGCAACGCCGCGUGAGUGAUGAAGGUCUUCGGAUCGUAAAACUCUGUUAUUAGGGAAGAACAAAUGUGUAAGUAACUAUGCACGUCUUGACGGUACCUAAUCAGAAAGCCACGGCUAACUACGUG